GCAUAUCAAUAAGCGGAGGAAAAGAAACCAACAGGGAUUGCCUCAGUAACGGCGAGUGAAGCGGCAACAGCUCAAAUUUGAAAUCUGGCCUCACGGUCCGAGUUGUAAUUUGUAGAGGAUGCUUUUGGCGAGGUGCUUUCCGAGUUCCCUGGAACGGGACGCCAUAGAGGGUGAGAGCCCCGUACGGUAAGACCACCGAGCCUCUGUAAAGCUCCUUCGACGAGUCGAGUAGUUUGGGAAUGCUGCUCUAAAUGGGAGGUGUACGUCUUCUAAAGCUAAAUACCGGCCAGAGACCGAUAGCGCACAAGUAGAGUGAUCGAAAGAUGAAAAGCACUUUGAAAAGAGGGUUAAAAAGUACGUGAAAUUGUUGAAAGGGAAGCAUUCAUGACCAGACUUGGGCUUGGUUGAACAUCCGGCGUUCUCGCCGGUGCACUCUGCCAGUCCAGGCCAGCAUCAGUUUGCCCCGGGGGACAAAGGCGGUGGGAAUGUGGCUCCCUUCGGGGAGUGUUAUAGCCCGCCGUGUAAUGCCCUGGGGCGGACUGAGGAACGCGCUUCGGCACGGAUGCUGGCGUAAUGGUCAUCAAUGACCCGUCUUGAAACACGGACCAAGGAGUCGUCUUCGUAUGCGAGUGUUCGGGUGUCAAACCCCUACGCGUAAUGAAAGUGAACGUAGGUGAGAGCUUCGGCGCAUCACCGACCGAUCCUGAUGUUCUCGGAUGGAUUUGAGUAAGAGCAUACGGGGCCGGACCCGAAAGAAGGUGAACUAUGCCUGUAUAGGGUGAAGCCAGAGGAAACUCUGGUGGAGGCUCGCAGCGGUUCUGACGUGCAAAUCGAUCGUCAAAUAUGGGCAUGGGGGGCGAAAGACUAAUCGAACCUUCUAGUAGCUGGUUUCCGCCGAA
rnacentral:rRNA from 1 species